GGGUCAGUAGGUUGGUCGUGCCACUGGUAUGCACUGGCCUUACUGAUUCCUCCUUCUUGAAGAACUGUGAUGUCAUUUACUUGGUGUUGCAGGGAAACAGGACUGUUACUUUGAAAAAAUUAGAGUGUUUAAAGCAGGCAUUCGCUUGAAUACAUUAGCAUGGAAUAAUAAAAUAGGACUUUGGUUCUAUUUUGUUGGUUUCUAGGACCGAAGUA
rnacentral:rRNA from 1 species